AGCGGAGUAGGGCAGUCAGGAGUGCCCGCAGGGCUCAUAACCCUGAGGUCGGUGGUUCAAAAGCCAGUUACACUAAGUGAAUUGUAUUCAAGUUAGUGUAGUAGCUUGAAAGUCCACCCUCCGCUA
rnacentral:tRNA from 1 species